CCCCUUCAUAACCGAUGAUGGUUCAGGACCGUCAUCGGAAAAAUCCCCUUGAGGAUCGGUGAUGGUCCUGAACCGUCAUAACGGAAAUCUUUACUCACCCGGUCACCAUCGUUCCCUCGGCGGUUAUCUGCGUUGCUCUCGGUGUGGGGAGACUGCCUGCAUCCCAGGCAGUCUCCCCACGGUGAAUUAGGACCCCGCGGCCACGGGAU